AGCGAAACUAUUUUCUGCUCUUUGUUCUUCGCGCUUUUUAAAGGGUGUGUUUGCAGAACCACAGAAGGAAAGGGAGAAGCGCUUGGGAGAACACACACACACACACACACACACACACACACACACACACACCCCUCACUGGACCCCGCAGGCGGAUGAUGGAGUUUCUGACGCUCUACAGGAAUGCACUGCUUCAACGCCUCUCUGCUGACACCGACCUGACACAAAAAAUCAUCGAUGCGGCCGAGGACAUCUUGUCCAAGAAAGAGGACAAGAUCUUGGCGGAAACCCGUGAGGAGAAGGCGAAGGCUCACACUCUUCUGUCCAUCAUCACUAGAAAAGGGUGGGAAAAGUGGGAGGAGUUUGUUGAAAUACUGAGAAAUGAAGGACUCGAUGAGUCGUCCCUCCAAAAGUGUCCAGAGAUGUGUGUCCAGACGGUGUGUGUGGACGGCGAGAGCAGUGCGGUCGCCCCGCUCAUCUGCAACGCGACCGCCAAAUCCGUGAACGUGGCGGUCGAUCUGGAAACGCUCGGCCGGCCGGGUCCUGGAGCGGCGGGUCCCGAGCGCACGUGCGAUGGACGUCCGGGGAACGCGGCUCCAGGCCAACGCGGAGACAACGCAGCGGUCAAGUCGACCGUGACGGUCACCGGAGGAAGUCAUUUCUGCGGUCCCAUUAUACACAACUCACAUGCGGCCGAAGACGUCAACAUUUGUUUUCAGGUUCGGGGCGCCUCUCAAGUCCAAGGACCCCCCAAGGAAGCUCAGCCGCCCAGAAGCUCCAUAGAAGAUAAACGGGGCUUCCUCAGGGUCAACUUCAGCAAGCUGGUGGACAGGGUGACCAACGUGGACAGCAUCGUGGACGAGCUGCGCUCCAAAGGCAUCCACAGAGAGCUGGCGGCCAACGUGUACGCUGAGAAGACGGAGCAGGCCAAGAUGCGGCGCCUCCUGGACAACACCAAGAGCUCGGCCAUGGCCGACGCGCUGCUCACGGCUCUUUUCGCCCAGCAGCCCCUCCUCAUGAACGAGCUGCUCUCCGGCCACCGGGCCUGAGCGGGUCCCUCAAGAUCGACCGUCGCAGGGAAGGGGUCCGGACCGCUGCCCGUCAGGUUGUGGGUUUCAGCGCCGCCGAGCCGCCGUCAGGAAAGGUACCGAAUGUAAAAAAAAAGAUGUUUUGAAAUUUUAUGUAAAAUGUUUUUUUGUUUUUUUAAUACUGCAGUAGUGUGGUGUGAGUAAAGUAUCAGCUGGAACAUCUGCUUACAGCCUUUGUACUGGGGCUGGAAUCCAAAAUGCUCCGCACGAAAGAGUGUUACGGAGAAAUCAGCACUGUUAGUGUGUACUGCCCUUUGUUUUAUAUUUGCUUAUAUUUGUGUCCUUUUAUCUGACUUGUCUCGUGUGACACCAGGGUCCUGGAGGAACAUUGUUUCCUUUCACCGUGUUACACGCUGUACGCUGUACCACCUGUGUAUGGGUCAAAAGACAAAUAUACACUUUGUUAUAGAUUACGCAUUUUAUUUUAGGUUUUUAUUAUGAAUUGGGUGAAUAAAAGUAUUUGCAAGAUCAGGCAUUUAAUUGGGUCACUUUAAAUACACCUGUACCUCGUUUUACCAACAUCCUGUCACGGCGGCUCGUAGGCAGGACGGACUCAAGCGCAGAGUGCGGUGUGAGAGAGGUUUAUUAGUUAAGAAUCGUUAUCCAAAGGCAGGUCGUGGGACAGGCGAGGGUCAGGCGAUCGGCAAACGGGAUACAAAGGGCGAAGGCAAAGAUCAGGGUCGAAUAGUUCAGGCAGCGGUCAGACACGGGCAGAGUUCACGGGUACACGUCGUUCGGGAAACAAGGAGGCAAAAGCCAGGUUCCGCACCCCUGUUUGCACGUCGUCUCCUUUUAUGCAGCUUCCAUCAGGAAAUUGCAGGUGUCGCCGAUGAGUUUUGUCUUCAGAAAGGAUAAUGAAGAUAAGCAGCAUCCCGUCCACCCCACACCUCUGCCGUGUGACUCCUUGCUCCGUGUCACACCUUGCGUGUCCGCUAGGGGAAGUGAGACCCUGCAUCGCAUAAGUUGUGCAUGAAAAUGAAAUGUUGUAUCAAAUUUUGAAUUCUUCACAAAUGUAUCUUUCUUUUUACAGAAGGUAACCCAUAAAUAAAUGGCGAGAUGAAGCCGCGUCAUUAAGGUGUUAUUGAUUCUGUUGUAGCGGUUGGACUUACGAACAGUUCGAGUUGCAAACACAUUUAUGGUCGCAGCUGUAUUUGUGAACUGAGGUACAAGCGCACUUUUUGUAGGGCUGUUUUUAUCAUGAUCUGCAGUGUUACUACAUUGAUUUACAUACAGUAACUUUGUACAUCAUCUUAACAUCAAGCUGGAAGUUAUAGAUCUAUCAGUUUCUCCUUUUAUAUCCAGCUGGUAACAUCUGCUGAUCAACUAAUCGUGUUCAUUUGCUUUUGAGAACUUGGUUCUAAUUAACUGCUUAUUAAAUGUGGAAGCUGAU